rnacentral:lncRNA from 1 species
CACACAUUCACACUCUUUUGGACAUAGACCGGUAUAUAUACUGCAGGUAUCACGGAGGUCUCCGUACUAUCAAGUUAUUUUCAAUGAUGCGAUUUUUAAAUCAACGAUCGGCUCCGUUAGAUUUGAUCUAUACUAUUGAAAAUAUUUGAGAACUAAAUUUUAUAAUUUUUUCUACAUUAUUUAGCUAGUGAUCAAAAUGUCUAAAAUAUGACAAUUUUAAUAGCCGAUGUGAUGCGUUUGUGAAUUUAACGAUAUAAAAUAAUUUAAAUCUGAUGAAAUUUUUAUAAAUUUUUUUAUUAUUAUUUAGAGUAAGAUCAGUACUUCUGAUUUUAAAUUCAAGUCUUUUAUCAUCAUUUUUUAUGAAAUUUUUAUUUUCAAACUACUUAUUUGAUAGGUAAAUAAUGUCGAAAAAUUAUAAAAUUUAGUUUUCAAACACUUUCAAUAGCAUAGAUCAAGUUUAACAAAGCCAAUCGUUAAAUUGGAAGCUGCAUCAUUGAAAACAACUUAGUUUCAUGAAACCUUCCGUCCUAUUGAUAAUAUACUGACCGGACUCCACUCUUUUAUAUAAUAAUAUUUAU